GACAGCCUCAGUGCAAGCAGCCCGGGCUGCCCCAUGGCAGACACACCCGGUUCCAACUGGCUCCAGCCAACCUGCCACAGGGCACGGCUGAGCCCCUCAGCCAUGUGCUGGAACACUGGGCAGGCUGAGGGCGCAGGAGGGUGAGGAACAACCCUGCAAACAAGGCCUAGAGAGUGAGGAGGGGCAGAGCUGCUGCAGGUGUUGGAGCAGGUGUUUCCCUGCAGCCAGUAGCAGACCCCAUGCCAGAGUAGGUGAAUAUUCCCUGGAGGAGCUGUGGCCUCUAGAAAGCCCAUGCUGGAGCAGGGCGAAAGUGUGAGGAGGAACCAGUGGCAGAGAGAAACUGUUACAGACUGAGCACAGCCCCCAUUCCCCUCCCCACCCCGCACCGCUCAGGGCUGGGGGAAGGUUGCUAGCUUGUGAUGGAGGGAUUUCUGUAACAGUGUGGGCUGGGUCAUCGAGAUAGCUGCUUAGAAGUGCCAUGAACCCUAUUUAUUAUAGUGAAAGGGAAAAACCCCACAAUGAUGAUAAACUGUGAUACUGAAUAAAGGGAGUUGGCAGUCACCGUUUAUGUGGACAUGGAAUAUGACUUAGAAAUUGGAAAGAUUGCUAUUGCUACUCCUGUGUGAAAUAUUAAUUUAAAACCAUUGCACAGAAACAUUUGGGCUUUGCUUUUAUUUUUUAUUAUUUUCAGGGAAGAAAACAAAAUUAGUAGUGAUAGACUU